UACGAAGGGGGCUAGCGUUGUUCGGAAUUACUGGGCGUAAAGCGCACGUAGGCGGACUUGUCAGUCAGGGGUGAAAUCCCGAGGCUUAACCUCGGAACUGCCUUUGAUACUGCAAGUCUUGAGGAUGAGAGAGGUGAGUGGAACUGCGAGUGUAGAGGUGAAAUUCGUAGAUAUUCGCAAGAACACCAGUGGCGAAGGCGGCUCACUGGCUCAUUUCUGACGCUGAGGUGCGAAAGCGUGGGGAGCAAAC
rnacentral:rRNA from 1 species